AGGCAUAACAGCUGCUUCCCCUCCCCAGACAAAUGCAUCACCAGCGAGCUGCUGAAGGACCUCCCCCUGAAAGACCUUCCCCUGAGCGGGGGGCUGAAGGACACCCCCUCGAACGGGGGGCUGAAAGAUGCCCCCCUGAGCAGGGACCUGAGCGCAGAUGUUGAGCUGCUGAAAGGAGGUCGGCAACGCAGUGCCUCCGCCUCUGGCGAAAUCCAUCGGGCUGGAGAUCAAGUCGUGUGUGUUGGCGAAAAUGAAAGAGGAGGAGGCCACAGAUAACAGCAAACCAGAAAAGAUGGACACUCUGGACUAGCGUGUAAAUCUCCCACCUCCUCGUUCUGGCCCCUGGACUUCCAAACAUGCACUGAUUUUUGUUUGUUUUGUUCGAUGACAUGAUGAGGUCUGUCUCCGUUCAGCUGUUCUCAUGACCAGUGUUCGUCUCCUUGGCUGACCUUGGAAGCUGUAUGUGAUGGUCAAAUUAUCAGCUACUAAUCAUUUUAGUGCUCGGCUGUGCAGUGCCCCCACCGUGCAUUCUGGAUUUUAAGGAGGAUGUUUUUAUUAUGCAUUGUAUUGAAAAUAAUCAACCACUUGUAUAAAGUGGAAAUUAAUACUUUAUGUAGUUUUUAUAUGUUGUAAUAUUUCUUCAAAUAAAUCUCUCCUAUAAAUUAUA